rnacentral:tRNA from 1 species
GGGCCCGUAGCUCAGCCUGGCAGAGCAUUGGUCUUAUACACCAANNGACCGGCCACAUCCACAUGGGAACGGCCUUGAACAAGGUGUUGAAGGACGUGGCUUUGCGCUCCAAGCGCAUGGAGGGCUUCGAUGUCUUCGACCGGCCCG